AGUGAACGCUGGCGGUAGGCCUAACACAUGCAAGUCGAACGGCAGCACAGUAAGAGCUUGCUCUUACGGGUGGCGAGUGGCGGACGGGUGAGGAAUACAUCGGAAUCUACUUUUUCGUGGGGGAUAACGUAGGGAAACUUACGCUAAUACCGCAUACGACCUACGGGUGAAAGCAGGGGAUCUUCGGACCUUGCGCGAUUGAAUGAGCCGAUGUCGGAUUAGCUAGUUGGCGGGGUAAAGGCCCACCAAGGCGACGAUCCGUAGCUGGUCUGAGAGGAUGAUCAGCCACACUGGAACUGAGACACGGUCCAGACUCCUACGGGAGGAAGCAGUGGGGAAUAUUGGACACUGGGCGCAAGCCUGAUCCAGCCAUACCGCGUGGGUGAAGAAGGCCUUCGGGUUGUAAAGCCCUUUUGUUGGGAAAGAAAAGCAGCAGGUUAAUACCCCGCUGUUCUGACGGUACCCAAAGAAUAAGCACCGGCUAACUUCGUG
rnacentral:rRNA from 1 species